GGUUUUGGAUUGUCCUUGAAGUGGACUGGGAAGGUAGCAAGGAGACUGGAGAUACUCAAAGGCAUCUGAGGCCGUGGGGAGGAAGACAGACUCACAAGUUUACAUAGGGGAACCCGGACUGACUGGGAAGGAGCUGCCGUAUUUAGUACGUCGAAACCUUACAAACUUCUAAGUUGCAUCUCAGCUAUUUCAUAAGGUUCAGUGUUAUAUCAUUUUUGGAACCAAAAAAAGUAGAAUUCAAACGAUGCUCGUCACGAGCUGACUGCGUUCCCAGCAAACUGAGCUCCCAAGUCACAUCCCAGCUCCCAAGUCCCGCAGCUGGUGAACAGUCAUGUCGGCUACUUGAGCGAACAAGCACUAUCUUGAAAUGAAUACAUGAAGAAGAAGGACGCUGUUUCCAAAAGAUGGUUUCAGACCAAGGAGGAGUCCCAGGGCCGCGUCCUCUGCCCGGCACCCCGGGUCGGCUCCCUCUGGCGCCCACUCCUGACGCCUCCUGUCACGCCACCCCUUGCAGCAGUGACGUGGGGUCCUGGCCCGUGUCCCGGGGGUGA